rnacentral:rRNA from 1 species
AGAGUUUGAUCCUGGCUCAGAUUGAACGCUGGCGGCAGGCCUAACACAUGCAAGUCGAGCGGAAACGAGUUAUCUGAACCUUCGGGGAACGAUAACGGCGUCGAGCGGCGGACGGGUGAGUAAUGCCUAGGAAAUUGCCCUGAUGUGGGGGAUAACCAUUGGAAACGAUGGCUAAUACCGCAUGAUGCCUACGGGCCAAAGAGGGGGACCUUCGGGCCUCUCGCGUCAGGAUAUGCCUAGGUGGGAUUAGCUAGUUGGUGAGGUAAGGGCUCACCAAGGCAACGAUCCCUAGCUGGUCUGAGAGGAUGAUCAGCCACACUGGAACUGAGACACGGUCCAGACUCCUACGGGAGGCAGCAGUGGGGAAUAUUGCACAAUGGGCGCAAGCCUGAUGCAGCCAUGCCGCGUGUGUGAAGAAGGCCUUCGGGUUGUAAAGCACUUUCAGUCGUGAGGAAGGUAGUGUAGUUAAUAGCUGCAUUAUUUGACGUUAGCGACAGAAGAAGCACCGGCUAACUCCGUGCCAGCAGCCGCGGUAAUACGGAGGGUGCGAGCGUUAAUCGGAAUUACUGGGCGUAAAGCGCAUGCAGGUGGUUUGUUAAGUCAGAUGUGAAAGCCCGGGGCUCAACCUCGGAAUAGCAUUUGAAACUGGCAGACUAGAGUACUGUAGAGGGGGGUAGAAUUUCAGGUGUAGCGGUGAAAUGCGUAGAGAUCUGAAGGAAUACCGGUGGCGAAGGCGGCCCCCUGGACAGAUACUGACACUCAGAUGCGAAAGCGUGGGGAGCAAACAGGAUUAG